rnacentral:rRNA from 1 species
UACGUAGGGGGCAAGCGUUGUCCGGAUUUAUUGGGCGUAAAGAGCGUGUAGGCGGCCUGACAGGUCUGCUGUGAAAACUCGAGGCUCAACCUCGAGAUGUCGGCGGAAACCGUCUGGCUAGAGUCCGGAAGAGGAGAGUGGAAUUCCUGGUGUAGCGGUGAAAUGCGCAGAUAUCAGGAGGAACACCGGUGGCGAAGGCGGGUCUCUGGGCCGUAACUGACGCUGAGGAGCGAAAGCGUGGGGAGCAAACAGG